rnacentral:rRNA from 1 species
CCUACGGGAGGCAGCAGUGAGGAAUAUUGGUCAAUGGACGCAAGUCUGAACCAGCCAAGUAGCGUGCAGGAUGACGGCCCUCCGGGUUGUAAACUGCUUUUAGUUGGGAAUAAAAGGGGGCUCGUGAGCCUCGUAUUAUAUGUACCAUCAGAAAAAGGACCGGCUAAUUCCGUGCCAGCAGCCGCGGUAAUACGGAAGGUCCGGGCGUUAUCCGGUUUUAUUGGGUUUAAAGGGUGCACAGGGGGUCUGUUAGGUCAGCGGUAAAAGCCCGGGGCUCAACCCCGGCCCGCCGUUGAAACUGGCAGUCUCGAGUUGGAGAGAAGGAUGCGGAAUGCGCGGUGUAGCGGUGAAAGGCAUAGAUAUCGCGAAGAACUCCGAUUGCGAAGGCAGCAUGCCGGCUCCACACUGACGCUGAGGCACGAAAGCGUGGGUAUCGAACAGGAUUAGAUACCCCAGUAGUC